UAGCACAUUGAUGGUUUACC
rnacentral:misc_RNA from 1 species